rnacentral:misc_RNA from 1 species
GGGAAUUCAAUGUCGAGACCUCGUGAUGUUUUGCACAUGAUACGGCCCUCACCGAAUCAGGAAUCUCAGAAGCAAAUGAUUCUUCCUGAGCUUCAGAUCAAGGUCUCUCAAGGAAGCAGUCAAGGAGUCCCUCCUUUUGGUGGGUCAAGUACCUCUUUCCCUAACCAGACAGCCUCCUCACCUGUUUCCUCACACCCACUUCAUCAACCACAUCUUUUAUCUUCACAGCAGCCUCUUGUGCAUAGCCCUCGGCAACCUCAUCUUCAAGGGGCCAGUCAUGCCACCAGCCCGCAACAUCAAGCUUAUGCGAUUCGUUUAGCUAGAGAGAGGCACCUGCAACAGCGGCUUUUACAACAGCAACAUCAACAACUCUCACAUACGCAGCCCCAUCUUCCUAUACCAUCAUCAUUGCAGAAUAGUCCUCAGAUCACUUCACAGACUUCUUCUCCACCAGUGUCACUUUCUCCUUUGACAUCGUCUUCCUCAAUUUCUCCAAUGCCACAGCAUCAACUGAAACAUCCAUUUCCGGCCCAUGGGCUUGGACGAAGUGCACAAACUGGGGGUAGUAGUUUAAUUACUCAAAUGAGCAAGCCAAGGCCACAUCAGAUAGGGCAGCAGCAGCUUCAAAAUGUUAGCAGGCACCAUCCUCCACAGCGCCAGCAGUCGGAAUCUCAGAAACAAGCU